GUGCCAGUGGAAGAGACUUCUGUUGAGUGGGUGCUUCUGCCUUCCUUGUUCUACAGGGUGGCUGGCUGCAGGGGAAUUGUGAUGGCAUGAGGCCCCCCAAGAAUUGCUGGGACCCUGUUAGGAGACGUUGUGCAUACCAUUCCUGUUUGUGUGUCCGUCCUCUCCAGAACCAACAGCGAACUUGGACCGAGGCAUUAGGAACCGUGCAGCUCGAAGACCCAGCUUGCUCCCUCCGCAAAACUUUUAAAAGACCUACUGACAUGGUCAGAAGCCAAAACAGAGACUUGGACUGCUGGAUAAAACCCAAGGGGCCACUCAGGCUCUUGUUUCCCAAUGGAAGCACAUUGGUCUCACAAAGGUUAAGUGACUUCAGUUACUGAAUAGCGAAGUGUGGAUGAGACCCUAGGGGCACACUGCGAGGUAGCCCCCGCCCACGAACUCAUCCCACUCCCACGCAGAUCCUCUCCAGGAGCUCCACCAGAAAAUUCAUUGACUUUUUUAUGAGGACCCGUGGGAGGAAGAAAUGUUUCUCAAGGCUAAGUAGCGAGAAUAACUAUGCUUCUUUGGGACUGUUCUCCAUUUUGUUCGUGGACUCUUGGAACGUGUAAUGGCUGGCUUCCCACUGAUGGUGCCAGCCAGGAAACUCAAGACUCUGGCAGUGAGCAGGUAGGCAUCGUGAGAGUCACAGCUUUUACAUGCCUACCCUUGUGACUUCGCUCUCCAGGAUUUUCUCUUUUGCUUUGAUUUUCUCAAAAAUUAUUUUUAUCCUAAAUGAACGCUGUUUAUAGGUUAAUUUAAAUUUGUAUUACUUACUGUGUUUAUUUUGUGCACAUGUACACCCUACUUGUUUGGGGGGGAAUGGGGGUCAUAGUGCAGGCAUGUGGAGGUCACGGGACAACUUGAAAUUUGGUUUCUUUUAAAGACACCCACUUCACAAUAUUCCACAGCACAGAGAAAACAGUUAUUGCCAUUUCCACUACUUUUGGGCUCAUUAUCUUUUGGUUGCUGAAUAAUCAGGAUUCAAUUUCACGUCCCUCAAGGAUAAUGAGUCUGAAAUGUAACCGCACCUGGAUUGCCUCAUGUUCCUGUACACCCACAGCCAGAUUUGGGUGGUCAUGAUUUCAUCAUUUAUCAUGGACACUGACUCAUUCCAUGCUGGGGCAAACUAAAUAUUUACUGAAUAAAUCUUCCAAGCUGCUACCAGAAAAUGGGAUGUGUUGGAAGCAAAGAAGCUGUCACAGAAAACAGAGUAACUGCAGCUGAGGAAGAAACUGGAAUCCGUUUCUCUGCACCAAAGCUGACGGCAAAGCCUUCUGGCAUCCUCUGGUUUUGAAGAAACAACUCUAAACUGUGGGGUUUUUUUUUUAUUGUUGUUGUUUGUUUGUUUGUUUGUUUGUUUUUUGUUUUUGUUGUUCUGUUCUAUCUUCUUUUUACUUCAAGGUGGUGGGGGAGCCAGAUGUUACUCUCAACACAUCGUUAAAUAGCCAUCCUUUCCCUUGAGUACCUACCUGAGGUUUGCCAGUAUUCUUACAAAUACCAGCUAAUCUUGGCUCUGACCCUAGAAAGCAUCCAAUGACGGUCAAGAAAAUGGACCUGCCCACCUAUCCACCCACCAAUCCAGUGGAUGGGAACACUGGAACCUGUACAACAAAGACAAGUAGGGAAGAAACUGAAACGAAACUCCAAGGCGCUAAAGCAUCCUACAACUAGGUUGUGAAAAGACACACUAUUCCUUCCACCCCUGGUUUAACCCGGGGAUGGUUCACAGACAAGCAGUCACGGCGCUUUUAUACAUCACAGAUUCCGUUUAUUUCAGAAAAUGUGAGGUCAAUUUUUUUCUGUCUGACUCUAUUGGCUAUUCCCUUUCAUGCCUUCAGAUGUACUCCGGUGCUGAUUUCUAUCAUCAAGUUCUUUGAUCUUCAACGGUAAAGUCUACUUCCUUUAGGGCCGUUGGAAUAACUGUGCAUCAGAAACAAUGACAGCCGGGGCUAUAGCUGUGGACAUACUGAGCUUCUCUAGUCAAUACUGCUAACAGAGGUAAAAAUAAAGGAAUUGUGAAAGACACAUUUAAAAUAUCCUACCGAAAUGGAGGAGCUAGAGAAAGUACCCAAGGAGCU
rnacentral:lncRNA from 1 species